rnacentral:rRNA from 1 species
AGAGUUUGAUCCUGGCUCAGGAUGAACGCUAGCUACAGGCUUAACACAUGCAAGUCGAGGGGCAGCAUGGUCUUAGCUUGCUAAGGCUGAUGGCGACCGGCGCACGGGUGAGUAACACGUAUCCAACCUGCCGUCUACUCUUGGCCAGCCUUCUGAAAGGAAGAUUAAUCCAGGAUGGCAUCAUGAGUUCACAUGUCCGCAUGAUUAAAGGUAUUUUCCGGUAGACGAUGGGGAUGCGUUCCAUUAGAUAGUAGGCGGGGUAACGGCCCACCUAGUCUUCGAUGGAUAGGGGUUCUGAGAGGAAGGUCCCCCACAUUGGAACUGAGACACGGUCCAAACUCCUACGGGAGGCAGCAGUGAGGAAUAUUGGUCAAUGGACGAGAGUCUGAACCAGCCAAGUAGCGUGAAGGAUGACUGCCCUAUGGGUUGUAAACUUCUUUUAUAUGGGAAUAAAGUUUUCCACGUGUGGAAUUUUGUAUGUACCAUAUGAAUAAGGAUCGGCUAACUCCGUGCCAGCAGCCGCGGUAAUACGGAGGAUCCGAGCGUUAUCCGGAUUUAUUGGGUUUAAAGGGAGCGUAGAUGGAUGUUUAAGUCAGUUGUGAAAGUUUGCGGCUCAACCGUAAAAUUGCAGUUGAUACUGGAUGUCUUGAGUGCAGUUGAGGCAGGCGGAAUUCGUGGUGUAGCGGUGAAAUGCUUAGAUAUCACGAAGAACUCCGAUUGCGAAGGCAGCUUGCUGGACUGUAACUGACGCUGAUGCUCGAAAGUGUGGGUAUCAAACAGGAUUAGAUACCCUGGUAGUCCACACAGUAAACGAUGAAUACUCGCUGUUUGCGAUAUACAGUAAGCGGCCAAGCGAAAGCGUUAAGUAUUCCACCUGGGGAGUACGCCGGCAACGGUGAAACUCAAAGGAAUUGACGGGGGCCCGCACAAGCGGAGGAACAUGUGGUUUAA